rfam:Xanthomonadaceae bacterium 3.5X genomic scaffold scaffold1, whole genome shotgun sequence.
GGCCAGGUGGCAGAGUGGUUAUGCAGCGGCCUGCAAAGCCGUGUACGCCGGUUCGAUUCCGACCCUGGCCU